UUCAAAAUAUGAACAGGGUUAAAUUUUAGAGAUGGGCCGGAUUUUUAGAACAACCUAUAAUUCGCUUUCAAUUACCAAGGUAGUCCGGUUAACAUUACUCGUGCAACAAUAGUUAUCCAAUGGUUUGUGUCUCGCCAUUCUUCGCGUUCAACUUUCGAGACGGGCCUGAAAAAACACUCCCCUCUGUAGCCUCCUUUGUCCAUUACAGUCACCCGGUUCCUCCAAUAGGAUCACUCCAUUUCCCCGUCGUCUUCUUCGUCAUUCGCUCUGUGCAUGAAUUUCAAUGAUCAGCCUGCUGCCUGCUGCUGUUAUAUCAUCCCUUGUUGCGUGAUGCCUGCUCAUAGCCAGGAUAUUUGUCUUGGGGGGAGGCCUUGGCCUGGCGAGGGGAGGUUUAACCCCUUUAAGGCAAAGGGGUCCGAGGUCCCCCCGCAAAUUUGUUGAAAAAUACCUUCCAUCGGUAACAAGGGAGGGAGUUUGAGUCCCCCAAACCCCUCCCCCCCCCUCCCGGAGAAGUACCUGGUUUAGAAUACUAGGCGGGAGAUGGAGAAGAGGGUAUUCAUGAAGAAGUAAAUAGCUUCAUUUUCUCCUCGUCUUCUUGUCUAUCUCUACAGGUAUCAAUUUCAUGAAUCACCCCUCAUAGGAAGGUCCUCGUUUUCCCGUGGAAAGAAAACUCCGAGAAAGUGACCACUGUACGCCACAGUGCGUUGUGCACCGCGUUUCUCUCGUCCCUUCCCGUCACAAAGAGCUUUUCCAAAACAACCCAGUAUAGUAAUGGCUUCCACUCGCCAAGUUCCGUGUUCCGAGUCUCGUUUCCCGCAAGUUUCGCCGACAAUGUCCGCCUCCGGCCGAUAGCUUUCGCGACAGACCAUCGGCUGAUAUUCCCAGUAACCUUUGACCUGUGUUGUGUGCAUUUUGCCAGCGCCCAGGGGAUAUGCAACCUGCAAUGUGCGACGAGCCAAUGCGACAGUCUAUCACGAAAGCCCCCUUAUAUUUCGAAUCGAUGAAGCCUGAAGGAUUAUAAACCAUUAAAACAUCU
rnacentral:lncRNA from 1 species